rnacentral:rRNA from 1 species
AGGGCCCUACGGGACGCAGCAGUGAGGAAUAUUGGUCAAUGGCCGCAGGGCUGAACCAGCCAAGUCGCGUGAGGGAUGACGGUCCUAUGGAUUGUAAACCUCUUUUGUCAGGGAGCAAAGGGCGCCACGUGUGGCGCUUUGCGAGUACCUGAAGAAAAAGCAUCGGCUAACUCCGUGCCAGCAGCCGCGGUAAUACGGAGGAUGCGAGCGUUAUCCGGAUUUAUUGGGUUUAAAGGGUGCGCAGGCGGAAUGUCAAGUCAGCGGUAAAUUUUGGGG